AAUUCCCUGCGGUGUUCGUUUAGAUAAGGUAUUAUUUAAACCCAACACCAAUUACUAAGGGAGGCUGACUCUUGCUGUGGCGUGUAUGCAGGCAUUUAUGUCUGAAACCCAGGAGCAGCAAGGAGGCCACCCACCUGCGUGAGGGCAGGUUUAAAAUAUACCUGGAGACGGCAUGGCGGGGCCUUC
rnacentral:other from 1 species